GGCUCGUUGGUCAAGCGGUUAAGACACCGCCCUUUCACGGCGGUAACACGGGUUCGAGUCCCGUACGGGUCA
rnacentral:tRNA from 1 species